CCUCUAACCUGUCCUCUGGCCACCCUCUGGUCAAGCUGCUGACAAUCAUGAUGAAUCCUGAUCACAAUCUUGCUUCACAAGAGAACCAAAUGAACAGAUGGUCAGAAAUCCGAAUUCUUCAUCAACACCACUGAGAAACAGCCCUCUGUCCCCUGUCAAAAGCAGUUUUUCUGGACAAACUGGUGUCUCUUCUCUCAAACCAGGCCCACUCCCACCUAACCUGGAUGAUCUCAAGGUACAAGACUUGACCUGAUUUUCAUUUCUUUUUAACAGAUACAGCAAUAUAAUUAUCGUCAGCAUCUUUGAGAGAAGAGUAUGGGAGAGACUUGUAGUAGCGGCAGUGUUUAGGCUCCAGUGGCAAGCCACCAAGAGAGGACAAAGCUACAGGUCCUCAACUCAGCUUUCCUGAGCAAUGAUUCCUAGGGACAGAUAGUCUUUACGUUUUUUGGCAUCUUAGAUGUCUCAUUUACACAAAUGAACUAUUUUAAUGGUCAAAUGGAAUAGUAUGUAUGAUAGAACUCAGCACAGUGUUAAUGUGCAGUUUAUAAAACCUCCAGAAUGCUCUAAACCAGUGGUCCAUCCAAUGAGGAUAUUUUUACCAAUCUCUGGCAAAAUGAGAAAAAUAAGAACCAUGUAAAGUGCUUUUCAUAUACCUAAGUACAUUCCAUGAAUUUAACAUGUAUUGAAAGUAUACAUUUCUUCACAAUGUUUUGAAUUUUAAGUUAUUCUUUCUGUUAGAAAAUGAUGAAGGUAGUAGAAGGCAGUUUAGUGUUUUUGGUAAGGUUAUAUUUGGUCCCUGGUAUUAAAUAAUGAUCCUAUUCCUUACCAAAAAAAAUAAAAUGUUGGUAACUCAGUGUUACUAAUGUAAAGUAAUUUUUUGUUCUACUAAAUUCUCAAAUCUGGAAACUUCUGUCCUGAAGCAGCACCUCUUUAAAUGUUACAUGCAUUCCACAGCUUAUGCCAAAUCACAGACCACAUGGAUCUCAGUUUUGCGAAAUGACAUUGAACUUUGAGUAGAACCUGGUGUGUUUCAAAGCAAUGCUUAGGCCCAACAUAUUCAUCCAUCUAUCCAGUAGUCACAGCAGAACUGAAAAACACAAAUGUAACCUCUCUGGUGUGUGACUACAAUUCAAUUCCCACUCCAUUCUCAGUAAUCACACUUGUUAAACUGGUUUCCAACCCACCUAUUACUCUCCACACACUGUCUUAUAAUUUUCCCCAAAAACUACACCCCUAAAGGUUCCCAUACCUUCAUUAUGCCAAUCGUAUGGCCCUUCUUCCUUCUCAGUCCUCGGAUCCAUCUCAUUUCCACCCACAUCCACUGCCAUCAUAUUCUUGGGAUGGAGAAUGGAAGUAGAAUUUGGCUCAUUUCAGAUUAAAGGAGAUUCCAUGGCUGCAGAGCAUCAACACUAGUAAUAAAAUGUAUCAUAGAUCCUGAUAUCAAAAACUCUUCUAUUCUUUCUUCUUGAAUUAAAAAUGCUUAGGUUUCAUUAAGCUUGUUUCAAUUUGGCAUCCACACCCCCAGAAAAAGACGCUAAGUUUGUGAUAAUGCUCUGGAGCCAUGGGUCUUCCACCCUCAACUCCCCAAAUCAUAAAUCCAUAGAGAUAAAAAAAAAAGCAUUAUGCUAAGCCCACUCAAAGGGACGAAUAU